rnacentral:lncRNA from 1 species
AUUGGGCCUUUGUUAACAAUGGACAAAAUCUAGGGUCUAGAUGAUGGGUUUGGAGGAAGUUGGAGGAAGCAUGGUGUUUUCCCAUUCUUGCUUCUAAACUGUCAAGUAAUGCAUUCAUGGGGACAAGGUCAAGAAAUUGUCUCAGUUAACAAUAUCAGAAUAAAGAAAUACACUCAAGAGGUUCUCAAAUGACUAGCUGGGAACCCACUGAAACUAUAUGGUCCACUAUCUAAAAUUCCAUAGUCUUUCAGAGUACAGGGUGAGGCAGCAGCAGCAGCCUCUCCAAAACAGCAAGAAAAAAUUUAUGGGUUAGUCAUAUAUUCUGUAAUUUCAAAGCCAGAAUAACUUCCCCUGGAUUUACAACUUGGUUUACUAUGAGCACAGUAUUAUUUUCUAUUCAGAUAAUUUAGAAAUGAACUACUGGCAGAGAAAUGUGCCAAUCUUAUUUAAUCUUGUUAUAAAUUCCAGAUUCCAGAAUUGCUUUUUUGAGAUUCUCUUUUUAUAUACAACAGAACUAUUUAAAGCAUCAAUUUCAUGUUCAGCAAUCAGUGAUCACUAGUUCAACUAUGAUAUGGGUCCAGCAAUCAGUGAUCACUAGUUCAACUAGAAUGAACAGAUGUUCUAAGAAAAUUUAGGACUAUGGUAAAUGAAAAUGAAAGAGUGAGCAAUGGCUCACUUGAGGUAGUAAUGAUUACAGGAUAGUUACUUGAAGAUAUGAAGUAAGGAGUAUCAAUAUAGAGCCUCAUUACAUGCACCCCGUGUCUAUUGUCUGGCCAAUUGAUGCUUACUAG